rnacentral:rRNA from 1 species
GACGAACGCUGGCGGCGUGCUUAACACAUGCAAGUCGAACGAAGUGGCGAACGGGUGAGUAACGCGUAAUCAACCUGCCCUUCAGAGGGGGACAACAGUUGGAACCGACUGCUCAUACCGCAUACUGAAGGAGGGGAUUGAGUCUGAUUAGCUAGUGGGAGGGGUAACGGCCCACCAAGGCGAUGAUCAGUAGCCGGUCUGAGAGGAUGAACGGCCACAUUGGGACUGAGACACGGCCCAGACUCCUACGGGAGGCAGCAUGGGGGAAUUUUCCGCAAUGGACGAAAGUCUGACGGAGCAACGCCGCGUGAGUGAUGACGGCCUUCGGGUUGUAAAGCUCUGUUAAUCGGGACGCGGUACCGGAAUAGAAAGCCACGGCUAACUACGUGCCAGCCGCCGCGGUAAUAC